rnacentral:rRNA from 1 species
GCGCCGAAGCCGCGAGGCGACGGCGUUCUCGCCGGAUGUAGGAACCGACCCGGGGACCGCCGGGGCAACCCGGCGCCCCCGAGACGGGGCGAACCACGGUGAAAUGACGGAUCGUCGGCCCCGCGCCGGCGACUCGCCGAAUGAGUUUCUGACCUAUCAACUCGAGACGGCGGGGUAGAGGCCCGCCGCGGUAACGACGGGUAACGGGGAAUCAGGGUUCGAUUCCGGAGAGGGAGCCCGAGAAACGGCUACCACUUCCAAGGAAGGCAGCAGGCGCGCAACUUACCCUAAUCUCGAUUCGAGGAGGUAGUGACAAGAAAUACCGAUGCGGGACCCUACGGGUGCCGCGUUCGGAAUGAGUACGAUUCGAACCACCUAACGAGGAACGAUCGGAGGGCAAGUCUGGUGCCAGCAGCCGCGGUAAUUCCAGCUCCAAUAGCGUACGUUAAAGUUG